rnacentral:rRNA from 1 species
UACGGAGGGGGCUAGCGUUGUUCGGAAUUACUGGGCGUAAAGCGCACGUAGGCGGCUUUGUAAGUUAGAGGUGAAAGCCCGGGGCUCAACUCCGGAAUUGCCUUUAAGACUGCAUCGCUAGAAUUGUGGAGAGGUAAGUGGAAUUCCGAGUGUAGAGGUGAAAUUCGUAGAUAUUCGGAAGAACACCAGUGGCGAAGGCGACUUACUGGACACAUAUUGACGCUGAGGUGCGAAAAGCGUGGGGGAGCAAACGGGG